rnacentral:rRNA from 1 species
GUUGAACGCUGGCGGAAUGCUUUACACAUGCAAGUCGAACGGCAGCACGGGGCAACCUGGUGGCGAGUGGCGAACGGGUGAGUAAUACAUCGGAACGUGCCCAAUCGUGGGGGAUAACGUAGCGAAAGUUACGCUAAUACCGCAUACGAUCUACGGAUGAAAGCGGGGGAUCGCAAGACCUCGCGCGAGUGGAGCGGCCGAUGUCAGAUUAGGUAGUUGGUGGGGUAAAGGCUCACCAAGCCAACGAUCUGUAGCUGGUCUGAGAGGACGACCAGCCACACUGGAACUGAGACACGGUCCAGACUCCUACGGGAGGCAGCAGUGGGGAAUUUUGGACAAUGGGCGCAAGCCUGAUCCAGCCAUUCCGCGUGCAGGAU